rnacentral:tRNA from 1 species
UGGGGUGUAGCUUAGUAGUAGAGUGCUUGCCUAAAAUGUGUAAGGACCUGGGUUCUAAUCCCUGUGCCACAG